rnacentral:rRNA from 1 species
UACGUAGGGUGCAAGCGUUGCUCGGAAUCAUUGGGCGUAAAGAGCGUGUAGGUGGCUAGAUAAGUCGGAUGUGAAAUCCCUCGGCUCAACCGAGGAAGUGCAUUCGAAACUAUUUAGCUUGAGGAUGGCAGAGGAAGGUGGAAUUCCUAGUGUAGAGGUGAAAUUCGUAGAUAUUAGGAGGAAUACCUGUGGCGAAGGCGGCCUUCUGGACCAUUCCUGACACUGAGACGCGAAAGCGUGGGUAGCAAACAGG